rnacentral:tRNA from 1 species
UUUUAAGUAACUUAUAUAAAGUAUUAAUCUUUUAAAUUAAAAAAGGAAUAAAAUUAAUCCCUUAAUAA